UCCCUAUAUAGGAGCAUUUUUCUAUUGUGCGUGUACACUGAGGAGCAGAGACACGAGAGCAGCACAUGGAUGUAUUAUAAGAACUGGAUAGAGCACCGCCACUUUGGCUCCAUUCAAUCUUCAUGAAUACCGACGGCACGUUUGCUUCCAACAACAGUGAAUACAGUGCAGACUGCUGGUGAGGAGUGAUCGAAACGUGAAAAUAAAAUGGAGCACAAGAGCGAUGCUGAUAAAACCUCUGAGAUCACUCAAGUUCCCUCUCUCAGGAUCACAGCGCAGGGGGGAGGAAUUGUGGUCGCUCCCUGCUUCAAUGGUUGUACUGUUGUCAACGUAAACAUCUAUAUCAACUCAUGUUACUCAGAGUGCAAGGCUUCAUCAAAAGAUGCACAGAACCAUGAGACUGAAAAAAUGAACAGCGAAAGACAUGACAGGACUACGCUACUGACGUGCGCAAGCGGAUUUGUAAAUAAAUGUCAGAACCAACAAUAGUGAAUACAGUAAGCUGAAAAGUAUAAUGAUGUCGUUACAGGUUAAAAUGAUCAAUUUAAUGGCUCUAUUAAUUGACCGUGGCUAUUAGUUUAUUUGUGUUACAGGAAUGAUGUUGUUUUCUUGGACACUUCUUGCUUGAUUUUCCAUUCACUGAUAUACUGUAUGCUAAUAAUCAAAAAUCAAAACGACUGCCUUUACUCACACAUCAACAUCACUACCCGCACUUAGUUUCAUCUCCGUAACAUGAACAGACUGUAGAAACCACAUUUUGUUGGUCACUUCCUCCUGUACCAAAGUCCAUAGAGAAAAUCAGUGUUUUUAGCUCAUGGGGACACAGGAGCUGCUGCUCAUCUGCUGCCUUUUUGAACAAAGGAUUCCAAACACCAAAAUCACACAUUAGAACUUGGUGAUGGAGGCAUCAAUGGAUCAACAUCUCCUCUGUGUUGUGAUGUAAAAUCAUUGUCUUUCUUUCUAUGUGCUUAUGUGCGGGACUUUCCUGCUGAAAAAGGGAAAAAGACGAGCAUCAGACUGACACUGUGCGUGGGAUCAGCUGAGCCUGAGGUUGUUGGAUUAACUUUAGCCAACAUCUUUCUCCAAAUACAAAUUAUGAGGAUAUUUAACUGGACCACCAUGUGACGCUUUUAGCAUAUAAGGGAUCAUUUAUCACUUUUCUGCAGAUUUUUAUUUAUCUUCACUCUGUGGUGAAUUCAUUGGUUUUCCUUUGCUGCUGGUGGGAAUAUUAAAGACUGUGUGUUGGUGAAUUGCUAUGCAGUUUGUACAGAUUGUAGCUGGUAGCAGCUAACCAAAAAAAAAAAGAAAGAAAAAGGAACACUUAAGUGCCAGAUAACCGUUAAAGCAGGUGGAGGUUCUUUACUAUACUUAUUUCAAAAUACUAACUCCAUCUUCAGGUCUGUGAUACAGCGCCUCCUGCUGGUCUUUGCCUUACACUAAUCUGUUGUCACUCUCAUAGGUACUGGUGCUUUAUUUGUGGGGGGUUUUAUUGAUGUUUUUAGGGGUAAGAUGAUGGCAAGAUUAAAUAAGACAUGAGUCUCUUUGAAAAUGCAAUAAAUAUUGUAUAUUUACGUAAUGGAAUAUGAUAAUCAUAGUUGUUCUAUUUUAUUUUGUAAAAAGGCUGUAAAAUAGGAAAGAGAGCUGGUUAAGAUGAUGAAACAUGUUCCAGCAGAGGGAGCUGGGAGGACGUGGGACACUUUGCAGUGAACAGUGGGGAAAAAAACCCAGUUGGCAGUGAAACUGGUGAAUGUGGCGAGUGAUGGAUGAUGUACAGCGAUGACUACAACACCUCCUGUCCAGGGUUUUAUGCUCACUUUGACAUUUUCUUACUUUGUUCAUGCUAAAAAGUGGUCAUUUCAUGUUAAUCAACAUCUGUUUUUAUUCUUUGAAAUCAUUUGAAAUAAAUGUAUUCCUGUUGGGGAAAAGGGAAAUUGA